GGCCAUUCUAACAAGGAUAAAAAACAGAUCGAACUACGAUAGAGACGUGGAGGUUUGGACUACGAUAGAGACGUGGAGGUUUGGACUGAUAGAGACGUGGAGGUUUGGACUGAUAGAGACGUGGAGGUUUGGACUACGAUAGAGACGUGGAGGUUUGGACUACGAUAGAGACGUGGCGGUUUGGACUACGAUAGAGACGUGGCGGUUUGGACUACGAUAGAGACGUGGAGGUUUGGACUACGAUAGAGACGUGGAGGUUUGGACUACGAUAGAGACGUGGAGGUUUGGACAACGAUAGAGACGUGGAGGUUUGGACAACGAUAGAGACGUGGAGGUUUGGACAACGAUAGAGA